AGCUAGUGGUGUAGUGGUCUGAGCACAGGACUAGGACUCUGGAGACCAGGGUUUGAUUCUCUGCUCGGCUA